UGAUUUGUGUGUGUGUGGUAUCAGUAAAUGGAUUGACAGGUUAAAGAAAGAAGGGAUGCUGGGCCAGGUGUGUUCUGAGCAAGUUCUAGUCCCAUUGGGUUUGUACUCAACCCACUCACUGGUUGGACUGGGGUGGGACUGGAGGACUGAAGGAUCUCUAGAUUCACAUGCACAAGACAGAACGGUUCCAAGAGCUUUCAAUGGCUCUUUGUCUUCGGAUCCUUUUGGAGGUUUCUAAAGGUUGAGCUCCAUGCCAUUCCGCUGCCUCACGGAGCCCUGAGAGCCACUAUGUUCUUCUCGACCAACAGUACCUUGCCAAGUUGUGUGACUGGGGUCAAGAGAUAAACAUGCACUUGACCACCUCUGAUGGCCGUGGGCCAUGUUACAGAGAUCUGGCCUAUGUGUCGUCUGAAGUCAUACAAGCCGCUGUUCCUUCUGUGGAAGCUGACAUAUACAGUAUAGUUUUGGGGUUCUUUUGUGGGAAACGUUGAAUAGAAAGCGUCCAUGUGAAGAACAAUAGAUGCAAAAGUACCACAAAAAAUCUGACCUCCGAGGUGAUUCCCCAGAAUGAAACUCUGCCAGAGUCUUCACUAAAUGCAAAAGAAAAGGCCCCUCUGCUGAUGGCAACAAGGGGGUUGUCCUCAGAUUGGAUGUUGUGGCGACACUGGCAAAAGUCCAGUCCAAUAACUCCUGCAAUGAUCAUGGUUUCAUUCAGAUUAAUGGACGUCAGAGACAGAGCUCUACAUCUUUAAGGUUCCCAUGUGUUUCCCCCACAGCGAUAUUUCAGAGUUACCCAAAACACAAUGCUGGCAACCAGGUUAAAUGUCAGCUGUCUGCAGGAAAAGCUGUUGCCAGCUUCUGCAAGAAAGACGGGAGGUUAUUGUUUGCUGCAUGACUGAGGGACGACUUAACAACCUGCUUGAUGUCUUGCGGGCUAGACAAGCUGUGACCAGUGAGAUGUACGAGAUCAUCCCUGCAGCCCUGACCUUGACCGCACGCACGUGCUGUUUGCUUGAUAUCUGUACCUGCCUUGGUGAAAAUGUUGCUAUCUUGGUGGCCACAACUUUAGGUUUAGUAUCACCCGAAAAUACUCAGACCACCCAUAGGUGGCAGGCUGGAUAAGUAAAGCCACCGUGCCGCUACUCUUAUGCAAUUGCAAAAUGCAGUAACUGCACAUGAAACAACUUAUAUCAGACUGAUAUAAGAUUUGUAUGGCACUGUAAUGUGUUGGGAUUGUUAGUGUGUUCUUGUUUGGACUUCUCAGUAAAAGAUGAGGAGAGCUAUGCUCCCUACAAGGGUAUGCUGCAAUGAAGCUUUAGUCAUGCAUCUAAAAAUCUAAUCAAAUUAACACCCAUUAUAAAGGGUUCUGAUGAUGCCAUUGUUUCCCAGUUGACAAACUGAAGGGAUUAUUAAAUGCCUUUGAUGAUGAUGAUUAUGUUCUGAUGAAUGGGCAAAUUUAGGUUUGAUUACAUUCCUUUGUGGAUAGAAAAAAUUCAACAGCACAAAAACAGAUUAUUUUAAAAAGAACCUUCAUGAAAGGUAAGACCAUUUCAUGCUUAACAGUGCAUGCUGUGAACUUUCACUCUCAGCUGCUGUUAUAAUACUGAAACUGUUGACUGAGAAGUUAACAACCUAAUAUAUUAUUCAUUUGAUCAUAUUUAAAAAAAAAAUCCUUACUAUAACCACAUUUAUUUUGUGUUUAAUACAUUACAUUUUACA